UACGUAGGGGGCAAGCGUUGUCCGGAAUCAUUGGGCGUAAAGAGCGUGUAGGCGGCCCGAUAAGUCCGCUGUGAAAGUCCAGGGCUCAACCCUGGGAUGCCGGUGGAUACUGUCGGGCUCGAGUCCGGAAGAGGAGUGUGGAAUUCCUGGUGUAGCGGUGAAAUGCGCAGAUAUCAGGAGGAACACCAAUGGCGAAGGCAGCACUCUGGGACGUGACUGACGCUGAGACGCGAAAGCGUGGGGAGCAAACAGGG
rnacentral:rRNA from 1 species